GAUAGUCACGCCCUCGCAUACAAUUAAUGUUAUUACUGCUUGUUUUCUGCCAGUAAUCUUUCAGAAAUGAAAAUGCCGAGUAAACACUGCUGCUAUGGAACUUGAAGAAACGACUCUAGACAUUACGACAUAUGAAGGGUGUUUUCUUCUUUUCCCGAAGCCAAAAACUCAGAGGAAAAAAAUGUGAAGAAUGGAUCAACUUGUGCGGACGGCAAAAGACAAGUUUAAUGCCAGCAAGGUGAAGCCAUUCACCUUCAUAUGCAGUAAACAUUUUGUUGGGGGCCAUGGUCCCACAGAGGACGAAGAGGUAAGCCAUUUUGAUAUUUUUACUUAUUUUUUAGGGUGGCGUUUUGCCGCGCUGCUUCUGACUGACAAAGCAGAAAAAAAUUAAAAUGGUAUCUGUCUGCCACUGUUGUGCCGUUACCACUGUUAAAAAUGUUAAAAUGACUUUUACUUUACAUGUGAAUUGUCUUGUUUUGUAUUGUGUUACUGUCACUUUAAAUGAAGACAGGUUGUAGUACCAGAAAUGGCCUCUGACUUGCCAUGUGACCACAAAGUCAGGAAGUUAAGUGUCAUGUGACCAGAAAAAGUCAGGAAGUAUAACAAGCAUGGCAGCAGGACUUGUUAUUGUCUCCUCUGUCAAUCUAGUUGAAUCUGCAACCAUCUUAUGCUUUUGAUAGCAUCGUCGUUUUACUCUUUACACGAUGUCAAUAAACCUGUGGACAAUGGACAGCUGUCUUCAGAGUCGUGAUGUCACUAAAGAGUUAUCUAACUGCCGAGUAGUAUCCAGCGUUCAUAUACCGAGGGCAGUACAACUGUCGUUACCUUUUCUGUUUAAAAAAAAAAAAAAAACUUGUGUGUAAAUAAAUUAUAUAAUUAAGAUUUGUUACUGAAAAAAUUAAAAAGUUAAAAAAUUAAAAGUAUUCAUUGGCUGUCACUGAGUAGCAUUUGCGAUCGCUACACAAAAAUAGCAAUGUAAAUUGCCCCCAAGAACGGACAGAGACGUAAGACAACCAGAGGAUAUAAUAUAUAGGAAAGACAGGGCAUAUGGUGGUAAAGGAUAGAUUGUUGAAACAAGAGAAUAUCACUGUCAGUGGCAUAAGGCAAUGCACACAAUAAAAAGGUGUUGAUAAAAGCUACCUCUGGAUCAGGUCGGCUCUUUUUCCCGUCUUUUUCAGCCCUCGACACUCAAGCCAUCUCUUUAACUGAACAUUUGUAUGUUCUUCCACAUCUUUACCAAUGAAUUUGGCACCAGGGACAUAAUUUUCGGACAGAAUUGGUAGGUUUAGCUCAGUUCGUAAACUAUUUCCAUGCAUUUACUAUUAGGGACAAAUGGGAGGUUUACCUGCCUAGCAACAAUUGCUAACAUCAUGACUUUUAAUGAGCAAAAGUGACGCUUUGCUUGCAGUACGCCAUUGAGGCUGUACUUGCCACAAAAGGUGCACCUACACCAUAUUAAAUUAGUUUUUGUUGAUUUUUAAAAAGAGGUUUCCAUUAUUUUUGUCCAACCACUUGUCUGUGUGUGUACAUUGUAUGUAUAUUAUAUAUUUUUUUUAAGGUGGCACGGCUGGAUACAGAUAUUCAAGGUGAGGCAUUUCUCAAGUGUAAUUAAAAUAUAUAAAUAUAUAUAUUCCCUUUGCUAGUUUCAGAUAGUCAAACUGAUUUAAUAUUUCACAAAAGACACCCGAAAGGAGUAUGAAACGUAUUUGUAUAAACUUUGGUUGUCAGAUAAUAAAUACGCCCCAAAACAUAUAAAAUCAGAAAAGGGCCAAAUCUUUUUUCAAUACGCUGUAGAUGAAGGUAUAAAAUGUAUAGUAUAUUUAAUAGGACUUUCAGAAUUGUGUUAGAAAAAAAAGAUGGUACCCCUGCAUCUAGCUGUCUGUAGACAGUCUUAGUUGAGUGGGAUCUCUAUGAUGUCCUCCUCAAUGAUUUCUCCCUGCACAGUGGGGACGAGCUCGCUGGGGGUCUUCUUGCAGCUCAUCCCUGAGAAGGGGCUGCACCAGGUUAGGGAAAACGGACCGCCGAAAGCCAUCUUCAUGGCCUCCCAGCAUGGCGCCUUCUCCCACUUGCCCGUCUCUCCUUUCAAGCGUUCGAUGCCCUGCAGAAGACAGCGUUAAGGAUUUCAGCAAAGAUAGUUUCGUUGUCAUGCCUCCAGUGCAACCAAGAAGCCCUGUGCAACUAUACCAUUAUUGAGCACUAGAGGGAGCAACACGAGUACAAGCAAGAUUAGGCGAGUGAACAAGAUAUUGACCAAUAAAAAAAACAACAACAGUGAGAGCAGCUCGCUUUCAAAUGCACACUCUUGUACAGUAGGUGGGGGUAGGCAUGUGCCGGUAUGAGAUUCUGACAGUAUGAUAACUUCAAGCAAAAAUAUCACGGUUUCACGGUAUUGCAAAUACAGCUCUAAAAUAUAUCUUUUUUCUUUUUUUUUAUUUUUCCAUUGAACAGGAUUUUUAAAAACAACAUAUUCGCAAAUUGGAAUAUAAGUAUAAUGUUAAGCUAAAAAAAAAAAUAUAUAUAUAUAUAUAUAUAUUCUAAAUAAAAUUAAAUUGGCAUUCUAAUUAUCCAUGUUGUCUCCCUUGUCAACAAGCUUACAUUACAGUAGGUUUUACCACUGCUAAACGAAGUACAUACGCUGGAGUUAACUCUCGUAGCAUGUGGGAAACGUUCAUGACAGCGUUUACUAACCUUUAAUUUUGUAUAAAUGCGAAAUCAUAUGGGAGAUAUUGCCUUCUCUGGUAGCCACCACCCGCAAAAGUGUUUUACAUGUCGGUUGGCCGGCUUAAGCCGCGGCUGUCUGUAAUUUUCCUGAACCUGAAGUAUUCCCAUACCAGCGACUUCGUUUUCUUCAAAAGGGAACAAUUUCAGGUGUUUCAUGUCCUCCAGCCAACAUGCAACACAACUGAUUCACUGACACUGAGCAACAACUUGAGGUGGAGGGGGAGCUCAGCAUUUUUGAUACGCAAAAAAUAGCUAAUACCGUAGGGACGGUAUGACGGAAAAUUUUAGCAGUUUUGAAACCUUGACACUUUCAUACCACGGUAUCCCUUGAAACCGGCAACAGGCACAUGUCUAGGUGUGGGUAUGCACCUCAUAGUUGCUUGCAAUCCACCAUUAAGAAAAGUUUUGGAUUUUUUUUUUAGCUUGUUAAACUUCUAAUUACAGCGCAGUCAAUUUUAUUACUUUUUUCCAUUCUGCAAGGUUAUAUAUUUAUAUUUAAAAUAUAAUAUAUAUAUAUAUCACAUUUUUUUGCAUCGGAAGAAAAUACUUUUUACUUGUAAAUUUUAAAGCAAAUCCUUUUGAACUUUUACUUGAGAAAAUGUUUUGUUAGAUACUUGUACUUUCGCUGAAGUAUUUUUUGCCCCUGUAUCUGUACAUUUACUUAAUUUAAUAAUUAAAUAAAAAUAGAUAAAAAAUAAAAAUUGAGUACUUCAUCCACUUCUGGUUGUGAUGUCACACCCAGGAUUCUGGAAAAAAGUGGGCAUCUCUGAUGCAUUGUUUUGGAUGGAAUAACUAUAAAAUGGUAACACGCGGAUUCAAUUUGAGUGCCAAAUUUGUUUUCUACAUGUAAAAUUACAUUAUUGCAGUCAUUUGUUGACAUGGUCACCAUUUCUUAGGAUCUGUAAACAACUUCAUAUUUUGGAGUAGCAAUUGCCAGAGAAAGAAAUGUCCUCUAAUUUAUCAAUGUCCGUAAGCCAUCAGACUAACGAUGCUGUAUGCAUUUUGCAGGGGAUAAGUGACCCUCCUGCCGUGAACUGUGUCAGUGCUUUUCAGAUACAUGUUAUUUAUUUUACAGGCCUCUGGGCGAUAAAGAAUAUUGUGCGUUUCCACACUGUUGUGGUCAAAGAGGCGGGGCUGAGCACACAGCGAGGGUGGGUACUCUAGUAAUCUUUGAUUUAUUGAUUCCCUUGGUGAUGUCUGACAGAAAUAAAAAAACAAAAAACAAAAAAACUCUUUGAUUAUUGUUAAGUUUUUAGGAAAAAAAGGAAAGCUUGCGAACCGGAGACCCAGUACUGACAGCACCAUGCUGUGGGGGGACUGGUGCAUUUCUCAAAAUAGAUGGCUUCAAGAGGAAAGAAUAUUAUGUGGAAAGAUUUAAACAAGUCAUAAUUACUUUUCUAAUCUUUGUAAUGCCGUUACCGUUACUCAGGAUAUAAAGGCGUGCAUUACUAUGCGUUAGUACGUUGGUUGAAUGACGUGAGAAAUGUCUGCGAGACACGGAGAGAGCAGAG